rnacentral:rRNA from 1 species
UAAUACUCCAUAGAUUAGAGACACUGGAAUGUUCUUUAGUCGAAAGUUCUGGCGCCUUAGGAUGGAUCUGCGGUCGAUUAGGUUGUUGUUGGGGUAACGGCCCAACAAGCCUGUAAUCGAUACGGGUUGUGGGAGCAAGAGCCCGGAGAUGGAAUCUGAGACACGAUUCCAGGCCCUACGGGGCGCAGCAGGCGCGAAAACUUUACAAUGCGGGCAACCGUGAUAAGGGAACCUCGAGUGCCUGUAAAUGCAGGCUGUUCAGAUGCCUAAAACACAUCUGGAGAAAGGGCCAGGCAAGACCGGUGCCAGCCGCCGCGGUAAUACCGGCGGCUCGAGUGGUGGCCACUUUUAUUGGGCUUAAAGCGUUCGUAGCUGGGUUGUUAAGUCUCUUGGGAAAUCUGGCGGCUUAACCGUCAGGCGUCUAAGGGAUACUGGCAAUCUUGGAACCGGGAGAGGCGAGGGGUACUUCGGGGGUAGGAGUGAAAUCCUGUAAUCCUCGAGGGACCACCUGUGGCGAAGGCGCCUCACCAGAACGGCUUCGACAGUGAGGGACGAAAGCUGGGGGAGCAAACCGGAUUAGAUACCCGGGUAGUCCCAGCCGUAAACUAUGCGCGUUAGGUGUAU